AGGAUGAACGCUGGCGGCGUGCCUAACACAUGCAAGUCGAGCGAUCUUCUUUCGGAAGAGAGCGGGCGGACGGGUGAGUAACGCGUGGGUAACCUGCCCUGUACACACGGAUAACAUACCGAAAGGUAUGCUAAUACGGGAUAACAUAUGAGAGUCACAUGACUUUUAUAUCAAAGCUUUUGCGGUACAGGAUGGACCCGCGUCUGAUUAGCUAGUUGGUAAGGUAACGGCUUACCAAGGCGACGAUCAGUAGCCGACCUGAGAGGGUGAUCGGCCACACUGGAACUGAGACACGGUCCAGACUCCUACGGGAGGCAGCAGUGGGGAAUAUUGCACAAUGGGCGAAAGCCUGAUGCAGCAACGCCGCGUGAGCGAUGAAGGCCUUCGGGUCGUAAAGCUCUGUCCUCAAGGAAGAUAAUGACGGUACUUGAGGAGGAAGCCCUGGCUAACUACGUGCCAGCAGCCGCGGUAAUACGUAGGGGGCUAGCGUUAUCCGGAAUUACUGGGCGUAAAGGGUGCGUAGGCGGUCUUUCAAGCCAGAAGUGAAAGGCUACGGCUCAACCGUAGUAAGCUUUUGGAACUGUAGGACUUGAGUGCAGGAGAGGAGAGUAGAAUUCCUAGUGUAGCGGUGAAAUGCGUAGAUAUUAGGAGGAAUACCAGUAGCGAAGGCGGCUCUCUGGACUGUAACUGACGCUGAGGCACGAAAGCGUGGGGAGCGAACAGGAUUAGAUACCCUGGUAGUCCACGCCGUAAACGAUGAGUACUAGGUGUCGGGGGUUACCCCCCUCGGUGCCGCAGCUAACGCAUUAAGUACUCCGCCUGGGAAGUACGCUCGCAAGAGUGAAA
rnacentral:rRNA from 1 species